rnacentral:lncRNA from 1 species
ACACGGACAGAAUCUCCCAGCUUUGGGGCAACAGACGCGGGCAACUUUGUGUGAGCGGCGCUGCGCAAAGGAAAGUGAAGCAAACGCACCAGCUGAGAGUGCUGCGAUUCCAGAGGAGCGACGCGGCGCCCAGGAGAUUCAGACCCAGCUCACUUUGAAGAUUAGAGGGCUGACAGCGUCUAAAGGACACUGAGAGCAUGGAUUAGGCAUCUCAAGCUCCCCUACUUCUCUUCACUCCUACAUCUUGUCCUCUGAGUAUUUGCGCAAUGACCUUUGGUGCACUUGGAUUGCAGCGGGUACGCCCGUGAGGUGGGCAGGCACUAAGCCUUGACAAAAGAUGCAACAGGGGCGAUGGCUCAUCGGGUGCCUGGGGGCAGGAAUGGCAAUUCUCUCUUUGAUAAGCCACAGCUGGGGCCAGGACACAGAAGGUAACACACUGUGGAUUCCACUCAAAACCAAAUUUGCUUUUGUGCAAUUAAUUGGAAGUCAAAGAACACACACUGCUGGGCUCGCGUAUUCAAAUGACUCAAUCCACAGAAGAGCUGAGGUCUGGAGCACCACAAUCCGACGUGUGCGUUUGAUCGCUGCUGUGUACCAGCCUGUUUGGAUCUCCACAAACUCCCCAGUGCACGUUUUCAUAAUGCCGACGGGAGGCAACGUGAUCACAUCAUCAGUGACAUGAUGUUGAUCAAUAAAUCACAUCUGGAGUCUUUGAGGGUGUAGCUUUACUUGGAUAAUUAAAUGUUCUGAGCGGCCAUGCAAAUAAAACUGAAAUGCAAUCUAUUCACAGCACAGAGAGAGGAGCUCAAGGGCAUCAAGUGUUUAAAGGGUGCUUAUAAGAAGGCCAGAUUCCAGGAUGUUCCUUUUCAGAGUAGUGAUCCUUGAAUAAAGACAUCGGAUUACUUGCCAAAUUUAGAACAACAUCAUUGAAUUGCUCUUUUGGUGUCUCUUUGUUGUUUUUUGGCUUAAAACUAACUUACCUCCAUGUUAUCUGCUGAAUUUUAAGUUUUGCAUCCACAAAGCUGAAGAUUAAAAAUAACACCACUGAAACAUCACAUCCUGACACAUCCCCUUUGUUAGUGUGGCACAUCCGGGGUUGGUUUGAUUGCUGGGAUCGGAAGGACCACCGUAACAGUACCAAAGUACCAACACAGCUGCCAUCAUACAGCUGGUUAUCUGUCAAGUGGACAUGCACAAAUCCAGCUGUCUGCCCGUGCACAUCAUUCAUCACGUUAAGAGGAUUGUCCUUGAUGUUUAAUAUUUAAAUGAAGGCAUCGACAUUCACUUCAGCCCAGAGGUGACUGGGUUUGUUGAUUAGUUCCUAAUCGUCCAACAAGGUGGAAGCUUCUAAAGGCUGUUUCCAUGAAUGUAUUCAUGAAUGAGUGAAUGUGGCAAAAACAGUAAAAUGUAUUAAGGAAUCAUGCAAAAUUCUAACAAUAUCCAUCUGCCAUCAUAAGAAAGAUCUCUUUUUUUCACCACC